UACGAAGGGAGCUAGCGUUGUUCGGAAUCACUGGGCGUAAAGCGUGCGUAGGUGGUCUUUCAAGUUAGGAGUGAAAGCCCGGGGCUCAACCUCGGAAUUGCUUCUAAGACUGAUUGACUAGAGUGAGGUAGAGGAUAGUAGAAUUCCUAGUGUAGAGGUGAAAUUCGUAGAUAUUAGGAGGAAUACCAGUGGCGAAGGCGGCUAUCUGGGCCUUUUCUGACACUAAGGCACGAAAGCGUGGGGAGCAAACAGGAUUAGAUACCCUGGUAGUCCACGCUGUAAACGAUGAAUGCUAGAUAUCGGGGCUUUGACUUCGGUGUCGCAGCUAACGCAUUAAGCAUUCCGCCUGGGGAGUACGGUCGCAAGAUUA
rnacentral:rRNA from 1 species